rnacentral:pre_miRNA from 1 species
UCUUACGGAUGAGCAAUGGAAGUGAUUUCUCGAGACAGAAUCUACUCCUGCUGAAGAUGCUGUGAA